AUUGGCUGCGUGACCUGCAGUUGGCAUAUGGAAGACUGAGCUUCCACCUGAGAUCUCUUGGACUCUAAAGCCCAGUCAUUCACUUGACAGAUGUUACUGAGCCCCAGCUAUGAGCCAAGCACGGUCGUAGGUACCAGGGAUAUAAUGACAGGGUUGGGUGGAAAGACAAAGAACCCUGUGUAUUAGGUGGCAUGGGUGUUAGAGGAGAAUAAGUCAGGCCAAAGGGAACGGGGAUCACAGCGGGUCAGGGCAAGGCUACUUCCUGUGGGGCUUGUGGGAGUUUUCCCUUGAAGGAGGCAUUAUCACAGACCUAAGUGCAGCUCCCUUGAAGGAGGCAUUAGCACAGACCUAAGGGCAGCUCCCUUGAAGGAGGCAUUAGCACAGACCUAAGGGCAGCACAGGUACCGGUUGCAAGCCAAUCCCAAGGAUCCAGGCAAAGAACGCAAGUGCCCAGGUCUGGGGCUGGAGACAGUGAUGUCCUUGAAGAAUGCAGAGAGACCAUUGAUGGACACAGUGAGUGGGCCAAGGGCAGUGUCGGGGGAGGCUGAGCAGAAUGUGGGGUUGGGUCACACGGGGUCCAAGAGCCAUGGCAAGGAUCAGAUUUUCCUCCGAACGGCUGAAGAGCAGGGGGACCUUGGAAAGCUGGUUAAGAACACAGCGAGAGUCAACAGUGGCCUGAACAGGGAAGCAGAUUCUAGAAAUAUUUUUCAGGUGGUGCUGAAAGUAUUUGCUGAUGGGUGGAAUGUGUGGUAUGAGGGAAUGCAGGACGGAAG
rnacentral:lncRNA from 1 species